GAAAGAGUGGUUUGGACAUUUGGGAAGGAAGAGAAGCCUGGCCAAUACAGCUACUAAUGAAGGCCAGGUGCUUUGGAAUGUAAAAAGGAGGAGCUGUGCCAUCAGGGCCACAGAACUCCAGGACAAAGCUGAGGAAGCUCAGCAGCUCUUUUCCUUGAAGCACUGGUGAUGCUGAGGACUGAAGAAAGACUCUGCGGUUCUGGAAUAAUAUAUGAAAGAGAAUUCAACAUAGAUUUUUCUGUGAGCAAGCAACAUCAGAACCAAAGCAACUCUGGCCUCCCUCCCAAGAAAAGCACAAUCUGACGAUGAGGGAUGUCAAAUUUGACAUAUGAAAGAAUUUGCACCAUGGCUAUGUGGGUAAUGAACUCACAGCUAUGUGGGACAUGAUCUAAUGUUUUCUUCAUAGUCUUACAGUUGUGAUAAAUUGAGCAAUAUAUUAAAUGGUGGUUUUCAACCAGUUCAAGGUAUUGUUUGUCCAGAUUAUCAUGAAAAAAAAUUGCCUACAGACCCCUGAGAAUGAACUAUCUUUCUCGCUUCUAGCAGGAAUUCUGCUGUGAGAAGUAAACUGGAAAAAAGGAAUGAUGUGAGGGUAUCCUGUACCAUCUCAGUGUAGAAAGAGAUACCAGUCUCCACAGUGUCUCUCAAGGGCACAUGAUACUAACUGUGGCAUCUGGCUUAGAGCAGAGAUUCACCACAGGCUCCAAUAUCAAUUCACGUGUCUAUAAUCCACCAAAAUAACCACCAGGUAUUGUUCUACACAAACGCAUGUAAUAUUGUUCUGUUUAUAUUCUUCACUACAUUGUUUUUGCAAAUGGAACCUCCUCUGAUUUGCAGAAGUCUUGCUUU